UCGACCGACAUGCUGACGUGUCUUGGAACUGACCAAAACACCACAAAUGGUCAAGCCGACUGACACCUUCAAACAUUAACGUUCAAAUCAAGGUCAGUGAAGUUAAACUACCAUUAAGAAUUGGGUAAUACAACCAUAAGUGUGAUUCAUUCCAUUAAUCAGACCCAAUGAGGUAAACUCAUUAAAAUAAUAUAAAUAACACACAUUCCAAGAAACAAGGUACGUCAUUAUUAUUGUACACUUACCCAAGUGUCGAACACCCUCUUUACUGACUUGAGCGUCGGAGUGCCUUCUGCAACUACCUCCCCCAUUUAGCAUUCACCUGAGACUGAGAGUCAAAGGAAUAACAUGAAGGCAAGAAGGAUAUGAGUGAAGCCCUAGCAACCUAUCCAAAGGAAAACGAAGACGAAGACGAAGAUUUCAAUAGUUCUCUAGGUCUGAUAUUCCUAGCACGAAACAAAAACUUUAUUAUAAUAACUCUUUAUUAAAAUAAAAUUGUGUGACAAAUAAAUUCUUCUUAUUAACCUAAGUUUAAUUUUUAAUUUAUUUAUUAUAUUUUUAUAAUACAAUUCUGAAGUGGUUAUUUAUUUUAUAAAGUGGUGAAAGUAUUAUUUGUGUUUUAAAUUUUAGAUUUGAACGGUUACGGUAGACUAUUAACUACAGUGACAAGAAAACAGUGUGGGAAAGCAUAAUCAUGGAACAGAAAAACGCAUAAGAUAAACAGAUAAGUGUUUGGGAACGUUGUUUUGUCGGAUUCAUUCAUUUCAAUCAUUGCUUAGGUUGAUCCUAAAUUUGAUGGGAUUGAAUCAAUUUUGUUGAAAAGUUAUUCAAUCUUAUGAGUUUUAUUUUUUAUUAUUUUAUAUGAUAGUCAAUAUGAUCUAAUCCGUUUUCUUUUGUUCUAGAUUGGACUAAGUUUGGUUUCAGAUUUUGGAAAAUAAAAUCUAUUAAGAAUAAAACAUACAUACAAAUUAAACCAAAACUUAAAAUUAUUAAAUCUCAUAAAAGUCAUGGUAUAGUUCAAACCUACACUUAAAUAUAUAUAAAUUAAAAAUUAUAACGAGAUUUGUCUACUAACACUUUUUCUAUGAUAGACUGAAAUUUAUUAAAAAUAGUCAUUUUUAUGAAUUUUACUUUUCUCGUCUUAUGACUCUCAUAUUAUUGUGAAAUUCACUAAAAUUAACAAUUCUUAAUAAAUCUCAGUCCAGUAUUAGCAUUAGAAAGAAAGAAAAUGUGAACUCAGAUCCAAUACCUUUUAAAGAAGGGGUUAACACCCUCAUAAUUUCAACAUACUCUUUUAUAACUUUUAAAAUUUUUAAAUUUAUUAUCUAGUUUAGAAUGUUGAUUUUCAGUUUUGAAGUGUGUAAUGGACUUUCUGGAUUAAUUUAGAAAGUAAAACAUCAAUAUUUUUAUAUUCCAGAAUAUACAACUUAAAAAAUAAAAUAAAAUUUAUUUUAUAUUAUAUAUUAUAAAAUAUAAAUUUGUAUUUUAUAUUAUGUGAUCUGAAAUAGAAAAUAAAAAUUGUAUUUCAAAAUUUAGAUUUUGAACUAGAAAAUAAAAAUUGUAUUUCAAAAUUUACAUUUUGAAAUAUAAAAUAAAAAAAAAUAUUUGAAAAUAUACAAUUUUAAAAUAUAUCUCUAAAUUUAAAAAUACAUUCUGGAUGUGAAAUGUAGAAAUUCAUUGUAUUUCUAAAUUCAGAAUGCAUUUUGUAAAUCUAAAAUAGGGCACUUUUAUCUUUUCACUACCCCAUGGGGUGCACCUUUAAAUUGUGUGAGUGUGGAAUGUAUUGUCCUUAAGAACAUGGUAUUCACUGUUUUGAUUUUUGGUUUAUUUGAAGACCUCUUCAUUUUGCACCUCUAUCAUUUAAAUCUGCAUCCCAUGGGAUUUGUGAAAUGGAAAAAAUAUCCUGCUUCAAUUUCUAAACAUGUUUUCAAAAUGGUUCCGGAUUGUACAAUCCAGAACAUAUUUGGUGGUUUUUGUACAUUUUAAAUUAUGCACUUUGGAAUGUAUUUUUUUUUUUUUAAAAGUUUAGUACUAGCGGAAGAAUUUGGCAUUUGGCAGAGAUGUAAUUUGGAAUAGAGAAGAGAAAUUUCAAGUCGAAACUAAGUUUGUCUUAAAACUCUAGAAGGGUGAUGAUUGAGGCAAAUUGAAGUUGGUCUCUCAUGGUUGUAAAUUAAGUAAGUUUGGAUCCCUUGUCCACAAAUUGAGACAUUGGGUUGUUGCUAUUGUGCAACAUUAGCUAUGAAGCCGCUGAUAAGAGUCUUAUUUCAACUUUUAUGGAAAGGUGACACCACGACACCAACACUUUCAAAUUUCCCUAUGGGUGAGAUGAUCAUUAUGAUAAAUGAUAUGUUUGUAUUGUUGCAUCUCCCAAUAGUGGGAUAUUUUUGUUCGUAUGUUACGUUAGAUUUCACAUCAGACGAUUUUUUAGCCAAUUUUGGUAUUAUCGAUCAUCUUAUUAUCAAUGUGACACUGACUUCACAUCCAUCAACAUGUGUAGUUAGAUACAUGUUAUCACACCCAUACAUAUUUCUUGAUACGAAUGAAGAUCGACCAAUCAAUAUGGUAUCAGAGCGGGUUAAAGUCCCGCUCUGCUUCCGCUCUUUCUUUUGUUCUGAUUUCUGGGUUUUUUCUUUAAUUUCUUUUUGUGUGAUUCGUGAUGGAAACUAAUUCUGGUAGUAGCAAAGAUUCCACUCUGAAUUCAAGCAGUAACCAAGAUCCCACACAAAACCCAAGCAGCCCUUAUUAUCUACAUCUUGGAGAAAAUCCAGGAACGGUUUUAAUCAAUCUUUAGCUUGACGGCAACAAUUAUCAUCCGAAGUUGAAUACCGUGCACUCGCUACUCUAACUUGUAAGAUUCAAUGACUAAAAUAUCUCAUCGAUGAAUUCAAAAUAAAAAUUCAGACCCCAAUUGUUGUCUACUAUGAUAGUCAAUCAACAAGAUAUAUAGCUCACAAUCCAAGCUUCCAUGAAAGAACAAAGCGUAUAGAAAUAGAUUUUCAUGUUGUACGUGAAAAGUACAAUCCAAACUCUUCCAGUUGUUGCCAAUCUCCUCAAAUCAUCAAACUACUGAUGUUCUCACUAAACCACUUGAACAUGGUGGUUUUAUUUCUGCAAUUUCCAAGUUUGGGUUGAUAAACAUCUACCACUAAGCUUGAGGAGGAUAUUAAGUUGUUAUUUUGUUAUUUAUUUUUGUUACUCUGUUUCUGUUUAACAGAGUCUUAUAUAUAUUGUAUUUUUUUUCCAGAUAUAAUAGAAUAAUACAUUUUCUUUUUCUUCUUCAUUCUCUUCUCUUACUUUUCCACCGUUUCCUUCCACCACACUAUGCGUGUCAUGGCAUAGCACUGCCCUCUGUCACAGAAGGCUAAGCACACCCAAAAGGGUUGCAGCACUCUGGUGUGAGUUAUAAGAAAAACCAGAAUCCAAUACAUGAAGACUAGAAUCCAAUAGAUGGUGGAAACUUAAUAGAAAAGACCAAAUUGAACAUUCUUAAAAAACAUUUGGACCAAAUUGAUUUUUUUUAAAAAUCUUUAAUAUUGACUUUAAAUAUAAGGACAAAAAGGUAAUUAUAACAAAAAUAUAUUAUACAACAAUUUUUAAUCGUUAAUAUAUAAUAUAUUUUCAUGGUUUAUGUCAAAUGUGUUUAGUUUAUGUAAAUAUCGUUAUCACUAAAAAAUACUUUUGUAUUAAAAAGUUUAAUAUUGAAACAUAUAUUUUUUGUAUAAAAAAAAUUAUAUAUUAAACAACUUACAAAAAUAUAAAAUAAAAAUUAAAAAAUUUAUAAUUUGUACAAUUCAAAAUAUAUAUUUUUAUUUUGUAUUAUACAUUUCAAAAUACAUUUUUGUAUAAUGUAUUUUAGAUUGUAGAAUGUAAAAUAUAAAUUUCAAAAGGUAAAACUAAAAAUUAAAUUAAUAUAGAGGUGCAAUUUCAAAUGCGGAAGGCAAUGGAUCACUUGAUGAACACUCCUACCAAUAAAUAGCUCAGUAAUUAGUUUUCAAAAUUAUACUUCAUUUAAAAGAAAUUAUAUGUGAAUUAGAUUUUAACAUAAUCUUUAAUUGUUGAUAUUUUAGUCAAUUAUAACAUUUGAUUUUUAAUUAUUUAAGAAAAGAGAACUUACAACAUUUAAUGAGACUCCUCAGCUUGCAAUGAAACUAAUUAUUUUCAUUUCCUCUUGAGGCAGUGGAAUUUUUUAUCUAGCUCAGUGAUGCUUCUGAGAUCCUGCUUUUGUUCUUACAUUAACCUGAAUCAUUUGGAAAGAUUGUGUUAACAGGAGCUUUCUACCACAAAUAAACUGUUUCAACAAACAGAAUCUGUCACAUCCUUAGUCUAAACGAGGAAGCUUGCAAGAUUAAAAAAAUUAAAUUGGAAAAGUAAAAGUAACUUUUACUUAUGAACUUUAUUAUUAGACAAGACAGGUCUCCAUGUAAAAUCUGGGAAAAAUCCAAAUUACGUGUCUUUUAAAAAAUAAAAGUCACACUUUUUAAAAGCUAAAUACAAGUGUCGGAGUUAAACCGUUAAACUGAAUUAUAAGAUAUGAUUUCAAAAUAUACUUUAAAAUAAGAUAUUCUUUAAUAAUAAUUUCAAUAAUUAAGAUAGGUCAAACAAUAAUUGAUUUUUAUUAUGACAACAAUAAGAAAAUUAUUGAACGAAGGGAAAGAAAAACAUGAAUAUGCUGAGAAGAAAACAAAUUGGAGACAACUCCAUAAAACGAAACAAAACCAGAAAAAUUCAGGGUGUUUCUUCCUGUACCUCUACAAAUGUCUUCCUGCACUCCAUCAUUUUCAGAAAAGACUGUUUUACCCCUUAUAAAAAUGGUUUCUGAAUUGCUCUUUCUGAAAUAUUUCUGGAAGAUAUUUUAUAAACUCUUGAUUUAUCAAUCUGGAAAUAAAAAAUAUGAUAUGGAAAGAAUAUUCUAGAACGAUUUUUUGUUUUUUGGAUUUCCUAUUCCAGAAACUCCCUUUGCUUACGAAAUCUUUAUUCAAGAAUCAUCCAAAACUGUGAAAGGUAAUUUUAAUAUUGUGAAGAAUGUAGGGGUGCAGGAAGAAAAAUGUAAACGUGCAGGAAGAAACACCCAAAAAUUUAUGGCAAAUGCUCCCUGCACCCAACACUUUUGAACCUGCACCCAACAUAAUUUCAAAAAUUCUAAAACUACCCUUUAUUCUGGAAAUAAAAAUCCGGAAUUGAAAAUAAUGCAUUCCAGAAAAAUAAAUCUGAAAGAAAUUUUUGUAUUCUGGAUAUAAAAAUCCAGAAAAAAAAAUCAAAAUCUCAUUCCGGAUAAAAAAAUUCGGAACUGAAAAUAAUACAUUCCAGAAAAAAUUAUCCGGAAGAGAUUAUUGUGUUCCGGAAAAAAGAAUCCAGAAUGUAAUUUUAUAUGUACCCCAUUUUUUGAAGGGUAUUUUCGGUUUUUCUCCUAUGAUUGGAUGCAGUUAUAUAGUGCAGGAAGCAAUUGCCAAAAUUUAUUACUGUUUCAAACAAGGCCCAAAGACCAGUUUGUAAAGACAAAAAAUAAAAAUUUAUUACUGUUUCAAACAAGGCCCAAAAUUUAUUACUGUUUCAAACAAGGCCCAACAGGGGUACAAAUAAAAAACUUAAUAUCCUCCCUCAAAUCAAGGAAUAUUCAAACAUAUGCUUCACAUCUUCUCAUUGGAUUAGGAAUAGGCUUUACUCAACCAUACCUACGUCUGCAAGAAUGUCUAAGAAAAUUCUUUUUGACACAUAAAUACCUCUAUCUGAACCAACAAUCUCAAGAUCUAAGAAAUACUUAAAAUUACCAAGAAUUUUUUAUCUAGAAAACAUUAUGUAAAAAUAUUUUAACAUUAUUAAUAUCAUAUAUGCAAUCUCCAACUAAAAUAAUGUCAUAUUUGUUUUCCUUGUAACCAUCUACAUAUAAUUCAUUAUCAAUUUUACUCUUAUUAAUAUAUUUUAUUUUAUUAUUUUACUCUUUAAAUUUUUAUAAUUAUUUUUUAUGAACAUAGUUCUUUUAAAAUCUAAUAAUAAUUUAUUUUAUUAUCAUAAGAAAAAAAGUGGAUACAUAUGCAACGGUAGAUGCAUACGUAUUUCCACUAGUAUUAUAAUAAAAUGAAAACAUUAAAUAAUUAAUAAAAUAAAUAAAUUUAAUAUUUUCUGAAUAUCUGUUUUGUAUUAUAAAAAUAAAUAACUAAAAUAAUAAAUAAAAUAAAAGAAUUUAAAUUUUGAUAAUUUUCUUAAUAUAUUUUUAUUUUUAUUUUUAUUUAAAAUUUAUUUUAUUUUAAUUUACAUUUUCAGAAAUUAAUUUUUGCAUUAAAUUAUUUUUUAAAAAUUGUAAAUUAUUUUCUUCAUAUAUUAAUAUACAAUUAAAAUUAUUCUAUCACACAAAUUAAAAUUACAACAAAUUUUUCACUUAUUUUCUCUCACUUUUUCACCAGCUUCUUCAAUUCAAAUAACAGUUUUUUUCACUUUAAUGUAUUCUAUCACUUUUUUUCCUUUUCACUCAAACAAAACAAAACAUAACCGACUAUAUAAUACUAACUUUCAUGAAGCCCACACAAUACAAUGGACCAUAUAAAACAGAUAUCAGGAACAUCAACACAAACCUAUUCUGAAAUGUUUCCAUCCUGUAUCCAACCUAUCUAAAACAGCGUCUAGAAACUGCCGAAUUUAACAGAAUGUUAGGAAUCAAGAAUUGAAAAGAGAAAGAAAAGAAAUAUUUUUAUUGAAUAGAAUAAAAUGAACAAGAAAUAGGACAGCACUCUCUCCUCCAAGACCAAGAGUUUCCCCUUCACACAGAAUUUGUCCUUUCACAAAGAGCUAAUGCUCAAUCUACAAAUACAAAAUGAACACCUUCCCCUCUAUAUCUAGUAUCCUCCUAUUUAUAGAUAUGAUUGGCACGAUCCAUGAUAUCCCUCUAAUAACUCCCUGUAUUCUGUAUACAGCCUAAUAUAAAAGCAAGAACAUACGAAUAUUUAUAGUGAGAAUACUACGUAUCCAUUCAGUAAAUAGCACUACUCUUCAAGCUCAUUCUUACUCAAUGUAAGACCAAACUCACUUGAAAUCCUAACAUAUGGCAAACCAUUAAGAGAGACUUUCCUUUUUUACUAAAUGUUUUCUUGGAUUUUCCUCUUUUAAUAAAUUAUUUUUCAUUUGAUCUACUCUUCAUCUUAGUUCUAACGGGAGCCUGGAGGCUCUAACUCUCUUCAAUAUAGCCUAAUAUUGUCUUCCCUACCUCUUGGACAAAAAUUGGAAAUCACAAAUAUCUGACACGAUUUUGAACUGGUUAAUUUUCCUAUAGCUAGAAAAAAUGAGGGCUCACAAAACAGAAUUGUAACACCUGGUAGUUUUCCAACCACAUUUGAAUGACUUAUCUGAAAGCUUUGAUUAACUAAUUAUAUCACAAUGUAUUUGUUGUAGCCAAUACUUACCUAUUGCCAGUUCAUAGGUGGAACCCCAGCAUUGUGUUAUGGUGUCUUUAUAGAACUACAGUAGAAGAAUAAAAUAAAAAGAACAUCGUACUUAUCCAUGAUCAGGCCAUUUCCCACCAGAACCACAUAUAAUAAAUAUAGAAGCCAUCCAAAUGACAAAUUCAUCCAUCCUUUCAUAUAACAACACUCCAAGGAAAGAGAAAAGGAUUACGGAAAGACAAGAGGACUAAUCAUCUAUUUAAAGGAGCAGAACCCAAUACAAGACUAGUGGUGUACAUAAUAUAGCUCAGGGAAUCAACUUGUCAUUGCUGUUGCGUAUAGCAAACCUUAAAAUUUCUGCAUAAAAUAUAGACCAACAUGUCACCCUAGACUAAUGUUGGGACCUACCAACAUAGAAGCUGAAGAAGCAAUUGCAACAUAUCAUAUCAACAAGAGGUAGAAUACAACAGAAAACUAAAAAACAUGUACAGAUACUGAAGAUGAGAGAUCCUAGUCUAACAACAGGGAGUUAAUUAAAGCUCAUCACAAUCAUCCAAAAUAAGGAUAAUUCUCUAACUCAAUGCUGCAAAGGGGAAGCUUGAAAUGCAAUUAGCAAACCCAAACAAUAUACAAUGGCUAAGCACUCUAAAUUAGAUUUUGUUUCUCUCAAAAAUCCUUAUGAACAAGACCACAUAUAUGCUACCUAAUUCUCUACUUCUAAUAUUUACAGACCAACUUGAUUCUAUAGCAGCACAAAGGUAUUCAGUAGAUAAAACUUCUUCAUAAAUACUUAUAAGGAAAUUAAGAAGGAAAAAUAAACUGAAUUUUUCCUGUAAACUAACUUAUGCACUUAAAUUUAUAGAAGCUCUCAAGUUUAUUUUAGCUCUUAAGAGAAGCUCAAUUUAUUUCAUCUCUUUAUAUUUUAUUUUUUCUCAUACAAAUGCAUGCUUAUGGAGAAAGCAAUGUUCCAACUCAGAGCAUAACUUACAUACUUCAGAAACUUAUUAAACAUUCACAUAUCAAAAUUCUAAGAAGGGCGAGUGAUCACAAAACGGCUACUGAGAAGUUACUAAGAAGAGCGGCAAAGUAACGAAAACAAAACCUAAGGUGGUGUAACCGGCAGCGAGGGAGGCUCCCGCAAGAGCGGCGGCGACGGCGUUGAUGGUUAUUGAAUGUUGAUGCGAACUGGAAGGGUUUUGCAGAGCCCAACCCCCAAAUCAGUGGGUGUUCGGAGCAGUGGUUUUGUUUGUUUCGGUUUAGGCUUUACCGGUUCGAUCCGGUUUAUUACAGUUGACCGG
rnacentral:lncRNA from 1 species